rnacentral:rRNA from 1 species
GGAUCAAUAUAUCGGUCGUGCCUUGGUACGUACUGGUAUCAUUGGUUUCUCCUUUCUGACGAACCAUGAUGUCAUUAAUUUGGUGUUAUGGGAAGUUAGGACUGUUACUUUGAAAAAAUUAGAGUGUUUAAAGCAGGCUUUAGCUUGAAUACAUUAGCAUGGAAUAAUGAAAUAGGACGUUCGAACCUAUUUUGUUGGUUUCUAGGAUCAACGUA